rnacentral:rRNA from 1 species
GACAGAGGAUGCAAGCGUUGUCCGGAUUUAUUGGGCGUAAAGAGCUCGUAGGCGGUUUCGUAAGUCGGGUGUGAAAACUCUAGGCUCAACCUGGAGACGCCACCCGAUACUGCGAUGACUAGAGUCCGGUAGGGGAGUGUGGAAUUCCUGGUGUAGCGGUGAAAUGCGCAGAUAUCAGGAGGAACACCAACGGCGAAGGCAGCACUCUGGGCCGGAACUGACGCUGAGGAGCGAAAGCGUGGGUAGCGAACAGG